rnacentral:lncRNA from 1 species
GUGACUUUAAUAGUGAAUUAGUGUUUAGAAGGUGAUGUUGUUGGUUACUUUAUUUAUUGAAAAUGCUUAAAUUUUGGUGACUUUAAUAGUGAAUUAGUUUCGUUGGUUGUUAUUAGUAGAAAAAGCUUAAGUUUUGGUGACUUUAAUAGUGAGCUAGUGUUUAGGAGGUGAUGUUGUUGGUGACUUUGUUUGUUGAAAAUGCUUAAGUGCUGGUGACUUUAAUAGUGAAUUAGUGUUUAGAAGGUGAUGUUGUUGGUUACUUGAUUUGUUGAAAAUGCUUAAGUGUCGAUGACUUUAAAAGUGAACUUUUGUUUAGAAGGUGAUGUUGUUGGUGACUUUAUUUGUUGAAAAUGCUUAAGUGACAGUGACUUUAAUAUUGAAUUAGUGUUUAGGAGGUGAUGUUGUUGGUUACUUUAUUUGUUGAAAAUGCUUAACUUUUGGUGACUUUAAAAGUGAAGUUUUGUUUAGAAGGUGAUGUUGUUGGUGACUUUAUUUGUUGAAACUUCUUGAUCUAAUUAGUUGAAUCUGAUUGAUUGCGUAGAUGGAAGAUGAUUAUAGCUGGAUAUAUCUCCGAAACAAUGAUAAUAGAAUGGGUAUUAGGGAGGAAUUUGUUGAGGGUAUCAAAAGAUUUGUUGAACAUGCUAAGACACUUGAUCUUUGGACACUUGAUCAGUUCUUUCAUUCAGAAUGGGGGGUUAUUCCUCCGUGUCCUGGUGAUGCAGUUCGGGCUGUAAAAGGUCUAGGUCCCUGGAUGAUUUCAGCACGGAUGAUGAUAUGGAAGACGAGGACGAAUAUAAUGAUGAUGACUAUUAGUUUUGUGAUUUUUGUAUGUCUUGUACAUUAAAUUUAGACAUUUUGUUGUUUAAAACUAUUGUUGUAGUAUUUUCGAACUCACUUUUGUUGGACAUUUUGUAUAUGUUGUACACUUUUGAAUUUUUUUUUUUGUUGUUGUAUUUUCAUUUUGGUUACUAGUACUCUAUAUAUUUGUUAUGGUUGCAUGCAGUAUUUGUGUUUUCAAUUUUUUUUUUUAAUUUUCAGAAAAACCGACCACAAGUGGUCGAUUUAAAUAGCUACCACUACUUUUCUGAUAAAAAUUUUGGUCGGAUUUGUGGUUGAAAAGUGGAAAAAACCGAUCAUUUGUGGUCAAUUUUUGUGGUCGAUUUUCCUUUUCUUUUAGUAGUGAUGUGUAUCUGUUUCCUUUAUCAAUUCAGGUUAAUCAAGAAUGUCGACCAAAGAAAUGAUUAAUUGCUUAAGAUGCAUCCAAUUUUGUUUGGAAUUUAAUGAACCUAGUGGUUGAGUUAUUUUUCUUUUUUAUAUAUUUUUUUUUAUAAAACGAAAAUAUAUCACUACUAGAAAUCAUUACCCCGUGAUUAAUAUAUAUUUUUUAUUAACAUUUAACUACUCCACUGUCCACAAUUUCCAUGCAAUAUGUUAAUUUUCAAAUGCCUAACCAUGUCAACACAGUAGAACCAAAUCAUAUGGUUGCUAAAAAUAUUAUAAAUUUAAUGGACUACUAUAUCAUUUUUUUUUGUUUGCUCAUUGCAUUUGAUAAGGGAAAAAAUAAAAAAAUAAAAAAAAUAAUAAACUCUUUCAUUAACUUUAGGAUAAUGAUUUAGAAUCUAAAUAAGAAAAACUACAAUAUUAAUAUUUCUCACAUACGGUGAAUGACGUCGUUGUUCCAACCCUAGCAUGUAUCAUAAUUAAGGCUUCAAAAUAUGAAAAUAACAAUGGGUUCGAUAAUUACUUAACAUACAAUAGAGUAUGAAAUGUUACGAAAGUUUUAUACUAAAUCUAACGAAAAUCAAAAUAUUCUAACAUACUUUAUAUUAUCAUGUCAAAGAAUAAUAAAUCGAAAAAAUACAAAAACAAGAGGAAACUUCGUAAUAUUAUAAUCAAGUCUUGUACAAUUACAAUAGUAAAUUAUACAAGAGAGAUUAGAGG